rnacentral:rRNA from 1 species
GUAAAGGGCUCGUAGGUGGUUGAUCGCGUCGGAAGUGUAAUCUUGGGGCUUAACCCUGAGCGUGCUUUCGAUACGGGUUAACUUGAGGAAGGUAGGGGAGAAUGGAAUUCCUGGUGGAGCGGUGGAAUGCGCAGAUAUCAGGAGGAACACCAGUGGCGAAGGCGGUUCUCUGGGCCUUUCCUGACGCUGAGGAGCGAAAGCGUGGGGAGCGAACAGGCUUAGAUACCCUGGUAGUCCACGCUGUAAACGGUGGGUACUAGGUGUGGGGUCCAUUCCACGGGUUCCGUGCCGUAGCUAACGCUUUAAGUACCCCGCCUGGGGAGUACGGCCGCAAGGCUAAAACUCAAAGGAAUUGACGGGGCCCCGCACAAGCGGCGGAGCAUGCGGAUUAAUUCGAUGCAACGCGUAGAACCUUACCUGGGUUUGACAUGGAUCGGGAGUGCUCAGAGAUGGGUGUGCCUCUUUUGGGGUCGGUUCACAGGUGGUGCAUGGCUGUCGUCAGCUCGUGUCGUGAGAUGUUGGGUUAAGUCCCGCAACGAGCGCAACCCUUGUUCACUGUUGCCAGCACGUUAUGGUGGGGACUCAGUGGAGACCGCCGGGGUCAACUCGGAGGAAGGUGGGGAUGACGUCAAGUCAUCAUGCCCCUUAUGUCCAGGGCUUCACGCAUGCUACAAUGGCUGGUACAGAGAGUGGCGAGCCUGUGAGGGUGAGCGAAUCUCGGAAAGCCGGUCUCAGUUCGGAUUGGGGUCUGCAACUCGACCUCAUGAAGUCGGAGUCGCUAGUAAUCGCAGAU